AGGACGAACGCUGGCGGCGUGCUUAACACAUGCAAGUCGAGCGAGGCCCCUUCCUUCGGGAGGGGAGCCCUAGCGGCGAACGGGUGAGUAACACGUGGGCAAUCUGCCCCUAGCACUGGGAUAACUCCGGGAAACCGGGGCUAAUACCGGAUAUGACCUCCGAGGGCAUCCUCUGGAGGUGGAAAGGAUUCUGGCUAGGGAUGAGUCCGCGGCCUAUCAGCUAGUUGGUGGGGUAAUGGCCCACCAAGGCGACGACGGGUA
rnacentral:rRNA from 1 species